GAGAGAGGGAGACAGGUUAACACUGCUCUCUAUGUUCACAUGUUGCCAACCAGUUUCAUUAGAACGGGUCCUUUGCAUCCCAGACUACAAAGGGGCUUCUUAACUUCCUUUUUUAAUUUCUCAUCUUCUCAAUUGGACAUUUCAUCUCUCUUCAGGCAGGUAGGCACCACUUUUCACCCAUGCUACUAGGACAAUGAAAGCUGGACCAUAAAGAAGGCUGAUCGCCGAAGAAUUGAUGCUUUUGAAUUAUGGUGCUGGAGGAGACUCUUGAGAGUCCCAUGGACUGCAAGAAGAUCAAACCUAUCCAUUCUGAAGGAAAGCACCCCUGAGUGCUCACUGGAAGGAGAGAUCCUGAAGCUGAGGCUCCAAUACUUUGGCCACCUCAUGAGACUCCCUGGAAAAGACCCUGAUGUUGGGAAAGAUUGAGGGCACAAGGAGAAGGGGAUGACAGAGGACGAGAUUGGUUGGACAGUGUUCUCGAAGCUACCAGCAUGAGUUUGACCAAACUGCGGGAGGCAGUGGGAGACAGGAGUGCCUGGCGUGCUCUGGUCCAUGGGGUCAUGAAGAGUCGGACACGACUAAACGACUAAACAACAACACUAGGACAGUGGCAUGAUUGUUAGUUGUCUGACAGUUAUUUCUCUAACAAAUACAUGGCACUGAAUGCUGAGUAGCCACAAUUGGGGGAUGGCAAAGCAACAUACCGUAUAUACUCGAGUAUAAGCGGACUUUUUCAGCACAUUUUUUAUGCUUAUACUCAACUGAGGGUCCUUUUGGGCUGCUCCUUCCUUCCUUCCUCCUCCUCUGCCUUUGCCGCUGUUGGCGGUGGCAGAGGAGGAACGAGCUGCUUGUUCUUCAUCCGCCGCCGCCACCACCACCAGUUUGUGGUGUGGUGAACUGGCUUAUACUCGAGUCAAUAAAUUUUCCCAGUUUUUUGUGCUAAAAUUAGGUGCCUCGGCUUAUAUUCAGGUCGGCUUAUACUCCAGUAUAUAUGGUAAGUCUUAUCUUCAAGAUCACAAUUUACACUCAUUUGAAGAAGAGGCAUCAGCACAUAGGAUACUAUUAUGUGGCAAAAUUUCCCACCUCUGCAACCCACUUAUUCAUGCAUUUUGGCUGGUUCCAGAGACACAGGAACAGGACCCAUACCUGAUUUUCCUUACCUCAAGGCAAUACAAUUAAAUUCAUCUCUUGUAAUAAAAUGGAACGUUGAAUUGGCCUGACUUAACCAAUUCACCGUUGAUUAGUUAGCCAAGUUGCACUGACAGUGAAUGCUGUUUUUGACACUGAUACUUUUAGUAUGCUCUGAUGUAUGCCAGAUAUGUUCUUGCGGUGCUAUUUUUCUGGGGGGACGCAGGGAUACGCAUACCCCUAAAUAUUUUGUGAAUCUAAGUUUGGCCUCAUUGAGGGGCAGUAUUUCAAUAUGAGUAGGAAAAUGAGAGCCCCCCUAAACAUUUUUUUUAAAGAAAAAAGCACUGAGUUCUUGUAUAAGUUAAGUUUUGAUAAUAUGUCUGUGUAAUUUUAUCAAGAUAUUUUUUAAAAACAGCAUUUUUGUAUCUUUAUAUUUUGCAAAAUAGCUUUCUUUUUGAGGUCAACUUUUCCCUUUUCUUGCAAGGAAUCCUAUUCGGAAUAAGGGAAUUUCCCUUUAAAAAGGGGAAACGUUGACAGCUAUGGUACUCUGUCCAUUCCCCAGUUGUCUUGCCCCCAAAAUCAGCGUGGAAAAGGCUCUUUCCCUUUUCCAUUCCAUCAUUCCCUCAGGGCCCUAACAUAGAUCUUCCCUGGAAUGCCCUGGCAACUCAAUUCACUUGGAUCUCUCUGCACUUUUAUCUCCAUACUCUACAUGCUCAGAAUCAAAUAAUCUGCCUCUGCUACUGUGCCUCACUCUGUGGCUGAACUACUGUUCCCACAAUGCCAUUUCCCGUCAACAGCAGUCACAGCCAAACCACCCACCAUCUUCUCAGCAGAUGGAUGGAGGAAUGUCACAGUUGGGAACGGCUGCAGUCCACGUUCACAGAGAACAAUGAAAACCUAGAACUUAAUUGAUAAUAGAAACUAAACAUAUAUGUAAAUAAACAUAAUGUAAAAUCGACCACCAACUAAAAUUGAAAUGUCAUCUCCUGCCACCCCAAUUGGUACUGUCAAAGAAGUCAGAUUAGGAGACUGGAAGUUCCAGUUUUUGCAAGCAAAUUGAAACUAGAAUUUGUUCAAGAAUUCCUGUUUUCUUUUCUUUCAUUCUUAAUGGAAUCCAGGCUGCCUGGAUAGAUGAAUCAUGGAAAAUAAACACAGGGAAUACAAUACACGUAUAGUAUAUGUUUAACAAAGUGGAAAAAAUAACAUAAUCCAGACUGCUCUGUGUCGUUUCGAAAAUGACAUAUUUUCAACGAGUGCUACACAAACCCUGAUCUGGAAUUGCUCUUCUUGAGUGCGGCAGCAGAUGCCUCUGUGUGAAUUUGCAAACAGUUUAAUUGUUCAGAUUUGUUUUUUAAAAAAUAUUUUUUAUUGGAAUUUUAUUUACAACAUAACAUAAACCCCCCACCCCUCCAUACACAAUCCACCCUCAUUAAAUGUGAACAUAACAUACAGUGAGCAUAACAUAUACAACAAUACAAACAACGAAAUAAAAGACUUCCUAUAUCCUGUAUCUGGCUUCCUUAUUUACUUCUUAUAAACUAUUUCCUUUAUGAAUAAUUAUUAAGAUUUUUCUAAUUAUAACUUAAAUAUCCACAAAGUCUCCUGCAGACAUUAAUCGAAACAAGUCCAGGUAUGUAUUUUAGGGCACUGUUUUGUGAAGUAUUCUCUGCAUUUCCCCCAUGCUUUUUGAAACUCUUGUGUAGUGUGAUCUCUAAUUGCCUCUGUUAAUCUAGCCAGUUCAAUAUACUCUAACAGCUUGUCUUGCCAUUCCUUUUUUGUUGGCACAGUUUCUUUUUUCCAGUUUUUAGCUGUUAGGAUCCUUGCUGCUCCUGUGGCAUAGAGGAAUAUUUUCUGAUCUUCUCUUGCUAUAUCUGUGUCCAGUAUCCCUAGUAGAGAAGCUUCUGUAUUUUUCAUAAAGUUAUACUUAUACAUGUUUGGUGGACCUGUGACAAAAUUAAAAGCUUCUGGAACACAGUAUAUGAUGAGCAGAACCUCAGAUUUGUAUUGAUUUGUAUUGAUUUUUACCUAUUGGGGGGCAGCUGCCCCCUGCCCCCCUUGCCUAUGCCCAUGGGGGGGGGGCUACAGGUAAGAAACAAGGUCAGAAGGGGGCCACAGUUGGAAAAAGGUUGGGGAACACUGCUCUAAUGAGAAAUGCUCUUAUUCCCUCAGUAAUUGUUUUUUGUUGUUGUUUAUUUGAUUUUUAUACUACCCCUUAUCAAGAGAUCCCAGGGCGGUGUACAACGUUAAAACCAUAUUAAAGGUAAAGGGACUCCUGACCAUUAGGUCCAGUCGUGGCCGACUCUGGGGUUGCGGCGCUCAUAUCGCUUCACUGGCUGAGGGAGCCGGCGUACAGCUUCUGGGUCAUGUGGUCAGCAUGACUAAGCCCCUUCUGGUGAACCAGAGCAGCGCACAGAAACGCCGUUUACCUUCCCACUGGAGCGAUACCUAUUUAUCUACUUGCACUUUGACGUGCUUUCGAACUGCUAGGUUGGCAGGAGCAGGGACUGAGCAACGGGAGCUCACCCCGCCGCGGGGAUUCGAACCGCCAACCUUCUGAUCGGCAAGUCCUAGGCUCUGUGGUUUAACCUACAGCACCACCCGCAUCCCAUAAACCAUAUUACAGAACAAUAAUGAUAAAAACAUAAUAAAACAUAGUAAGAAGCAUACUGACAAACAAUAUUCACUUAGGGGCUUUUCUUCCCUCCUUCCACAGCCUGAGCGGUUGCUGCCCCCGGCAAUUCACUCAGCAGAUAUCUCUUGACAGAGCCUUAUUAUUUGCCAUUUGUUCAAAGUUAGCUCAGCAAAUACCACCAGUCUCCAACUCCAUGGGAUCUUCCUGAGAUAAAAGCAUGCACACAAUUCAUUGUUUCCUAAGCCUCUCGUGUACUGAUACAGGAUGCUUGUGGCACAAGCCUUAUUUGCCUUUCCAUGCUGACAUUAUUGUAGCAAGGGUAAUAAGCAGCGGGCCUUGGGAAUGAAGGCCAGCCACAGCAAAAGUAAUAAAGAAGAUUCGUGCUUUUAAUCUACUUAAGUAUUGAAUAUUGUUUGCCUUAAAAGGGCAGCCAGUUAUUCAGAAAGUAGCGCAGGAUAAUGAUCCCAAAUAUUAAAACAGGCCUCUGUGUGUCUCAGGUCUUCAUAGUUCAUACAACGUAUUAUUUUCCCCUGUGAAUGUCGACAUUAAUGAGAGGCAAGAGCUAGGAAAACGGACAUGGUUUCAAAAGUGACCGCAAUCUGAGUUUAGUCUUUGCAUUUGAGGUCAGCGUUCCUUGUCAUUUAAAAAAGCAUUUUGGUGCUUUGCUUUGUUUCUGAAAGAAGAGUAUGCUAUGGCUUUGCUAGCUCGAUUGUACUGCCAAAACAAUACUGCUCUUAGAAUUGCUGCUGAGAAAAGAUAAGAAGAUAUGCAAAGACACAAGUGACUGGAAGACAAGCAUGAGAAGGUUACUACAAAAGGGGUCACAAGGUAGGGAUGUGGGUGGUGCUGUGGUCUAAACCACUGAGCCUCUUGGACUUGCUGAUCAGAAGGUUGGCGGUUUGAAUCCCUGUGACGGAAGGUAAACGGCAUUUUCGUGUGCUCUGGUUUCCGUCAUGGUGUUCUGCUGCACCAGAAGUGGUUUAGUCAUGCUGGACACAUGACCAGGAGAGCUGUCUGUGGACAAACACUGGCUCUCUCGGCCUGAAAAGCGAGAUGAGCGCUGCAACCCCAUAGUCACCUUCGACUGGACUUAACCUUUUCCUUUUCCUUUACUUUUUGACCACAAGGUAGGGGGAAGAUGCAGGAACUGACUAAUGGUGUGUGUGUGUGUGUGUGUGUGUGUGUGUGUGUGUGUGUGUAUAACUAUUGAUCUAUCAUCUAUCAUCUAUCAUUUAUCAUCUAUCUAUCAUCUAUCUAUCAUCUAUCUAUCUAUAUCUAUCUAUAUGUUAGGUUUCUGUUAUGCCACUGUGCAGUGCUUGGAGUCACAAGACUCUGUUUACAUUCCAGACUGUUAGAAGUCUCACGGGAGAUGGCCGAUGGAUGUUGAUGUUACUGGUUUCCUGUUU